UUAAGUUUUGUGGUAUCACAUCAUAUGCACCGAACUAAUUAUUGCUUAGCUUUCUGAAAUUGACAUUUAUAUUUUAAAAGGUUGUUUAUUUUUUACUAGCAUUAAUGAAUUCAGAUUCCCUUCAGUCAGGAAAUCCUGAAUUCAGUGAAGUCAGGGGACUGCAGCCUUCCAGUUUCAGAUAUAAAGAAACUAUUUGAAAGGUAUAAUAACCUCUUUAAGUCUAAGCCUUCUGAUCGAGAUCGGACAGCUGAGGACCCCUAACUGCACCGAAUGUCGGAUCUCUGAUUUUAGGGGACUGGUCCAGCUUUAAUCCAUCUGAAUUUCAGUUCUUCUACUAGAAUUGGACGCCAAGUGUCUAGUCAUGAAGGUGUUGAUACAGAGACAGACAAUUGCAAAUUGUGGUGAUGAAAACUUUAACACCAGAAGAAACAAGAAAGGCGCUGGAACGUUGGCUUCCGAGGGAGGAAUGGGUUCCAAUAAAUCCUCUUUUGGUAGGAUUUGGACGGAAAAUUUGUACGCCUCUAAGGGCUCACUGUGGAGAAUGUGGCGUAAAUAGGUUGUGCCCAUCAGCGUUCAAGGAGAGUUCAAAACCAUCUUCUAAGUCCAAGAACUGAACAAUAAGCUUUAAUCAAGUUGAUUCCUUUAUUCUUUUCAGGUUUGAUACGAUUUACAUUCUCUUUGACCGUAGAAUCUCAUAGUCAGAUGGGUAUGCCCAGGCCAAAUUAUUAUUUAGUUAACGUUGAGAACGUCCAUGUAUCUUGAGAUAUAUAUAUCUUGACAAGAAGGAAAAAACUCAUUCAACUUACAUGAUCACAUAAGAGAGAUCUAAGUCAUCAAAAAUAUUUCUUUUAACUUUUAUGAGAUCUAUCUCAUGUGGUCAUGUCACAUGAGAGGAUCCAUUCCCCAUUCAACUAAAUAUAUUUAGAGUUCUUUUAUUUCAGUUUUUUUCGUAAAGAAUCACUUUUUUAAACUUUUAAGGGUUUGUGAAUGGAAGUGC